UACAGAGGGUGCGAGCGUUGUCCGGAAUCACUGGGCGUAAGGGCGCGUAGGUGGCGCGGCAAGUCCGUGGUGAAAGCUCGACGCUCAACGUCGAGUCGGCCACGGAUACUGCCGGGCUUGAGCACUGUAGAGGCAGAUGGAAUUCCGGGUGUAGCGGUGGAAUGCGUAGAGAUCCGGAAGAACACCGGUGGCGAAGGCGGUCUGCUGGGCAGUUGCUGACACUGAGGCGCGACAGCGUGGGGAGCAAACAGG
rnacentral:rRNA from 1 species